AGGGAGCUUGCUCCCGGAUGUUAGCGGCGGACGGGUGAGUAACACGUGGGUAACCUGCCUGUAAGACUGGGAUAACUCCGGGAAACCGGAGCUAAUACCGGAUAGUUCCUUGAACCGCAUGGUUCAAGGAUGAAAGACGGUUUCGGCUGUCACUUACAGAUGGACCCGCGGCGCAUUAACUAGUUGGUGAGGUAACGGCUCACCAAGGCGACGAUGCGUAGCCGACCUGAGAGGGUGAUCGGCCACACUGGGACUGAGACACGGCCCAGACUCCUACGGGAGGCAGCAGUAGGGAAUCUUCCGCAAUGGACGAAAGUCUGACGGAGCAACGCCGCGUGAGUGAUGAAGGUUUUCGGAUCGUAAAGCUCUGUUGUUAGGGAAGAACAAGUGCAAGAGUAACUGCUUGCACCUUGACGGUACCUAACCAGAAAGCCACGGCUAACUACGUGCCAGCAGCCGCGGUAAUACGUAGGUGGCAAGCGUUGUCCGGAAUUAUUGGGCGUAAAGGGCUCGCAGGCGGUUUCUUAAGUCUGAUGUGAAAGCCCCCGGCUCAACCGGGGAGGGUCAUUGGAAACUGGGAAACUUGAGUG
rnacentral:rRNA from 1 species